UAGAUCCAUGCUCAGGGCUG
rnacentral:misc_RNA from 1 species